UGCUCUUCAUGGACUGCGGCGCC
rnacentral:miRNA from 1 species